rnacentral:lncRNA from 1 species
AGCCGAGCUGAUUUCACGUGCUGGUGUUCAGAGCUGUUUGCUGUUUCUCAUUCCAGCAUCUUCAGCCGCUGGAGGUGAGCAGGUUUCUGGCUCUGAGUCCGAAGCACGAGGAAGGACUUGGCAGGACCCUAUUUUUUGCUACCUCCGCAGUCAGCUGUAGGCAAUAUCCAGAUUUGAGCUGUGGGAAACUUCCAUCAGGAGCUCUUAUUAACCUUGGCCAAUCUUCCUGCAUUAAGUUGGAAAUGUGAGAAACAUACCAGGCCCACGGAGAGUGAGAAGGAAAGGGAGAGAGACAAGGAAUGGACCCUGUUGUCCAAGAAUCUCCAAAUGGGCAUGGUUCUGCCUUGGAACCACUCGCUCCAGCCACACGAGGAAGCCGUGGUGGGCCACGGAACAUCUCCAGAGGUUCAGGCCUGCCUCCAGUGGUUUCUCACUGGGCACUCACAUUUUAAGAGCACGUACCGCUCCUCUCGUGUGUCUUCUAUUAACCUCCAAUUAACAUCGCAGUCCGGACUAGCCUCAUACAAAUCAAACAGGUCUCUCCUGCAUUUUACCCACAGAGGUGCUCGGUGCCUUGCCUCUCCCGGGCCUCAGGAGGCCACAGAUGCCUUCAGCACCCAGGCCUGCCCAUGGUGGGCCAAGAGGAGGGCAGGCUGUUUCUCCAUAUGCACUCCAUACCAUACCGACCAUACCAACCAGGGCCCAGUGCAAGGUGCGAGGCAGGAGCUUGGAAGCAGGGUUAGGACACCAUGGCGGGGACAAAGCAGGAUGCCACCCCACCCCCUGCGAUUUCUCCAUCCCAUCCUCCCUCCCUUUCCAAGUCCUGCUGGCCUCCUUCCAUUCACUGCACCUCCACUCAGCUUGUGCUCCCUCUGCCUGUCCCCUCACUUCCCCCUCCUUCUCAUUCAGUGCCCCUCUGCCUCUGUGUGGCCUCCCUCUUUUUUCUCUGUCUCCGACCUGUGGUCCGCCUCUAUUCACGGUGUCAGCCCAGCCUCUCUCGCUGCUUCUUUCUGCCUCCCCACCCCCCACAUGCUCCCCUACGCCGGGCCUUUCAUCCACAAGACCCUGACCUCUGCACAGUGUUGGCU